rnacentral:rRNA from 1 species
UACGGAGGGUGCAAGCGUUGUUCGGAAUUACUGGGCGUAAAGCGCGUGUAGGCGGCCUGGUAAGUCAGAUGUGAAAGCCCUCGGCUUAACCGGGGAAGUGCAUCUGAAACUGCCUGGCUUGAGUACGGGAGAGGGAGGCGGAAUUCCCAGUGUAGAGGUGAAAUUCGUAGAUAUUGGGAGGAACACCGGUGGCGAAAGCGGCCUCCUGGACCGAUACUGACGCUGAGACGCGAAAGCGUGGGGAGCAAACAGG